GUCCGCAUCAGGAAACGCUAAUAUUCGACUUAAGCCAGCCAGAAUCCACAAAAUGUCUGCCGCGAGUUUGUAAGGUUUCAAGAAGCCGCUUCCUGCCCCUUACUUCCUCAACCACCACUUCCAUGCACCAACAAAAGGCGCCCUCCCAUUCACCAAAUGUGCGCAAAAACGGCAGCAAAAUACAUGAAAGAAUGGCCCACGAUGUCGGAUGUCUUUCACCUCCUGAUGGUGCAUCAUCAAGGAGCGAAGUCCCUGUAGACAUCCUCGUAGGUGUGUAGUGCCCAGACCUCUCUGCCAGGUGAGCUUCGUCAGCCCCAGCUCCUCUAUCAGCCCUGCCUGAAGAUUCACAAUAUCUUGCCGGAUGGGCUCACUCACUGCCAGUCGCUUCUCAGCUUCUCCCAUGUUCUUGAUGAGCCAUGAACUGCAAAGAUUGGAAAACUCUUCCUCUGGGUUGAAGACACCAGUAGCAUCAUAGAAGGAGCGAGACCACUUGAUUUUCCUGUCUGGCCUGCGGGAUUGUUCAGGGAGGCUGUCCACAUAUUUGGUGGGGAGAUGGAAGACACUGAGAAUC